AUCCAGCUGACGAGUCCCAAAUAGGUCGAACAGCGUAUCCUGGAU
rnacentral:hammerhead_ribozyme from 1 species